GCCAGGACCUCAAGUCUAGUGUACUCGAAUGUGGAUCCACGAUUUUCUUUAGAUUUUUCCUUGAGAAUCUUGAUUUGCUCAAGUGACAGAUUCAGGAUUGCGGUACAAAUGGAUUCGGAAUUUUGAGUAGGAGUAUUCAUUGAAGGAGGUGGGUCGUAUUCAAUGUGAUGGAAUCUAGGAGAAUUUGGAACCCCAAAAUCUAGUACGGUUCGAUCAAAGAAAGGUGGAAUGCUAAUAGGAACACCACGUGUCAUCUCAGCCCAUGAGUUGACGAAAUGGUACGUUGAAGCUCCAUCUGCUAAAAUAUGAUGAAAUCUAGUCGCAAGACAAACGCCUCCGCAUUUGAAACGAGUUACCUACUCAACACACACAGCACAGCAUUACUUAAUAAAACCAAGUCUCAUGAAUCAAUUGAUCAGGGGAUUAAAUAUUCGCGGUACCUGCGUCAUCAUGAGUGGAUAAGAAGAAUUAUCUUUCGUGUCAUCAAAAGUUGGAAGCAACGGCAAAAGCUUGGAGCCUUCCGCGAAGUCACCAAAAUCAUCAAUAACGCAACUUGUUUCCGCCUCCACAAACAAAACCCCCUCUCCGUUACAUAGUAUUUCGGUUCUACCACUUUCGUCACUGGGCAACCUUCCAGCCACGGGGUGAAACGGCACAAGAAUCUUUUUCAGAGCUUCCUUCAGCAAACCAGCAUCAAAGAAAUUAGGGGAAGAAUAAUUUGGCCGUCGAUAAAAGAAUACCAGGGGGACGUAAUUGGAUGGCGCAAUCAAGUCCAAGACAGAAUUUCGUAGGCGUUGCUUGGGCGUUUCUUGGGCAGGCCGUAUUAUUGUGGACUUCUGUACAUGAAUUUCCAUUGUGCUAGCCGUGGCGACUUGGCUGAUUAGAACGGCAGCGGCAGACGGCGGUUAAUCUUCUCUGCUCUGGCGGCUUUCGUGUGUUGUGUCUGCAGGUUGCGAUUAGGAUUUUCUUUAAAAAAAAAAAAAAAGGUUAUGAAACGUACACGCCUCUGACUCUGUUUUUCUCUCAGUUUCAAAAUAAAAAACUCUAAUUUUGUCUUUUCUUUUUUUUUUUAAUAAUUAAAAAAUGGAUCCGAUUACGUGGCAAAUAUCAGAUGCUGAUCUGCAUCCGACUUUUUUAAAAUUUAAUAAUGCACAUAUCAUGGCCGGGUGCGGAUUUCGCGGAUCCAGACCUAAUGAAUAGAGAAAAAUGAAGUAAAUACCAGAAAUAAGAAAUUAAGAAGAUGAAAUAACACUUGUGAACAGAGACUCUUAUUUUCUUUCUUGAACAAGGAAGUAAAUAUGGAAGUGAGAGGAUUCUUCUGAAAUCUUGAGCCAACUAUCACUGAUUGAGGGUUCUGAAAUCUUGAGCCAACUAAAAAUAUAUAUUUAUAGGGUUGUUAAAGAGUCAUUGAAAUGAUCGAGGUCACAUCGUUACUAGCUUACACAUAUCAAUUGGAGUAGGAGUAAAUAGGAAUUUGAGUGCCAAUGGCCUAUGGGUUCAAGUCCCAGCGCUGGCAGAGUGUUGGGACUUGACUCCCCUGCAUAAUAAGGGUUGAAUAGUCUUUUUACAUUAGGGUAUAAUCGAUUUCUCUCUAAUAUUAAUAGAAAGGGCAGACAUCUCUUAAUUGAAGGGUUAGUAUUCGGGCUGUGCUUCAAUAUAAUUAUUUAAGAGAGUCCUAAUUGAAUUCUGAUUGUAAAUAUCAGUAGAGUUCUAAUUAUAAUAUAUCAAUAUAUAAAUUAAAAAAAAAGAUAGGAAUUUGAGUAGAUUUGUUCUCAAAAGCAUAUUUGUCGUUUUAACACAUUAUGACCAACCUUUUCUUCGUCUUUUGCCUUAUAUUCUCAGACUUUCAUCUGUCAUUUUAUCUUUAAUUUGAAGGAAUACCAAGAAUAGGAGGAUUGUUUUCUUUUAAAGAAAAUAAAGAAUUGUGGAAUAUUUUCGUUUUCUAAUUAGAGAUGAUUGAGCAGAAACCUGGAUCUACUUGGUAAAUGGGAACUUCAUGUAAUAAAUUUUAGUUUAUUUAACUAAUAAUUAUCAUAAUUUUAUAUUUAUAUUAAAUUUUAAAUGUAAUAACUUCUUUGUUUAUUUACUAUUUUGCUUAUAUAUGAGACCUGUUAUGGGCUCGGUUUAUGUCCAGCCUCAAUAACUUUAGCUUUGUAACUCUUUAGUUCUUGCCUAUAUGUCUUUUCAUAGCUAAUGGCAUUUGCUCUUUCUUCUCUCUUGUACUAUUUUCACUUUCUUUUAGUUAAUAAAUUUUGCCACCUCACUUUGUAGAGGUUCCAUUAUAAAGAAAUGAAAAUUACUUGUUUACUUGUAUGAUCUGUUAUGGGCUCGGUCGAUUUAACUUUGUAACUCUUUUGUCACUCUUCGUUUUCUCAUCUAAUAGUUUUGAAUGUUAAUAUUAUCUAUAUUCGCAUAUAUAUAUUCUCAAAUUCACAAGCACUUGCUAAUGAAAAUGAAAGUGCUCCAAAUAAUUCCAACCACCCAAAAGCGAAAAGGAGAACCAAGGACAAAACAUUUCACAAUAUGUGCUUAAAAAUAGGAGCAACGGUGGAGUCCAUUUCAGCCAUAGUAUGCAAAUUAGAUGGGUUGAUUAGUGUACUUUCUAUUGCUGAUAAACAGUUAUCUGAUUUACAAGUUAAGUUGUAUGAUAAAAUGCGUAAGAUUGUUUGCUUAAGUGAGAAAGAAAUAUUUGAUGCGAUUGAUAUUAUGGCCACCAAACAUGAUGUGCUACGUGGGUUCUUCAACUUGGCCAAUGAGCUGAAAAAAGGGAUAAAUUCUUUGAAAAUUUUAUCGUGAUUCAUGAGAUAUAGUCUUCUAUCAUUUUGGAAAUUGGAAUUGUGUUUUGUCAAGUAAGCACAUCAUUUUGAAACAUUGGAAAUGUGUUCUUAUUUUGGAACUUUAGACUUGUGGUGCUAUGUAAAGUAUUUGGGCUUAAAUAUUUGUAAUAGGAUGUACUACAAAUUUUUAUGUUUUUGUUAUAGAUGCAGAUAGUGUUUGUUUUUUUUUUUGUCUGAAAUCUGAAUAGAUCUGAAUUAGUUUAAAUUCUGAAUAGAGUUAAAUGUUUGAAUAUGAAUGAUUUUUUUUUUGUCUGAAUCGAUAAAAAUAAAUAUUAAGUUGUUUGUUUUUUAGCUUAAAAAAUCUUAAAACUAAUAUUUUUCCAUUUAUGCCCUUACAAACUAUAAAUGUUACCAAACAAUAAAAUCUCAAGGAAUAUAAAUAAGAUAAUAAAUUGUCAUAACAUAAAUCAUAUUCAAUGUGAAUCAAUUUUAUUAUAGUUUAUGAUGUUUUUAUAUGAAAAUUAUUCAUAAAAAAUUAUGAAGAUAAAUAAUGAUAAUGUGAAGAAAAUAAAAAGAUAAAAAUAAUUAGAGUUUACCACUACAUAUUAUCACAAGCUAUAUAGAGAUGGGUAAUAAUGCUAAUAUUAAAUUUAAUUCACGUAAGGAUUAAAAAUUAAUUAAUUAGAUAAGGAUAUUUUGGAGAAUUUUUUUAACGAUAUUAUUAAGAUUUUUUAGAUUAAGCAAAAAGCUAAAACUGAAAAUUUUUAUUAAGUUGAAAAAAUAAACGGACUUAAUACUUUAACUGAUUAAAAUUAAGUCAAUUAAUUCAUUAGUUAAAAAAACGACCCCACAUUCUCAAUGAUAAAGUUAUUUCUGACUUUUACUUAAAGAAAUGUUGUCUUUUUUUUACUUUUUCCUUUUUUUUUUUUUUCUCAUAUAACUACUGAUGAUCAAUUUCUUUCUUAACUCAUGCCAAAGUUAUCAGGAGAUUGUCAUAUAUAUUAUCAAUUGUUGGCAUAAUAAUUGAAUAAUCUUCACUUGAAAGCUGGUGGCCACCGCUGAAUAGGCAUUGUAGGAGUUCAUAGAUAAAAUUUACUAAACUACUGUCAUGAAUUCAAAAUAACUCCACCUUUGACAAAUUAUUUAACUUUAUUUAUUUAUGAACGAAGAUAUGAAAGUGGCAACUAGGCCGCUACAUCAAAAAUUUUUUUUUCUUUUAAUUCAAUUUUUAAUAAUAGUGAGCUUGGAACCCAGGUUAUCCAUAUUGAGCCCAAGAACUUUACUGAUUAAUUACUUUAAUUAUCUAUCCAUAUCAAUUGAGCAAACCUUAAGAAAGGUAUGAACAUGGUUUUAACAGAUAAAAACAGGAAAAUAAAGAAGUAAAGAACAUACCGGUCAUAUUCAAGCUUACAAAGCUAUGAGAAAUGGUAACUACCAGAACAAUUUGUUGAUGAACUUAAAAUGAGAGAUUGAACAAUUUGUCGAUCGAUGACGUUAAAUGAGAGAUUCAACACGUGUACUUAUUAUCAUCCGUUAUUUCUGGCCCAAUCACCUUGUAGCUAUGGUAUCAUAAGUCAUAUUAAAAAUGGACCCGACUAUGUUACAGAUUUUGUAACUAAUAGUAAAGCUGUUCUGGCUCGUUGGAUUAGACGAUAUAAAUCUAAUGGUUGGGAUAAUGUGUAUGAAAUUAAACCAAGGGGGAUAGUAAUCGACUAAUGUGUUGAAAUUCAUAUUUCUACUCUAUGGACUGUAGGCCCAAAAAUAAAGAUAUAUUUAUAUAAGCUAUAUUUAUACUUUGAGCCUAAUAUAUUGAGAAUGUUUUACUUUGGCCCCGAUAAAGUUAAAUGUUUUACAUUUCUUAUCUAAUAAUUAUUAAUCAUAAUAUUGUAAAAAGAUCGUCAAAAUUCCACUGAAAAUCGCCAAAUUUACUGUCAAAACUGAUAAACAUUUAGCAUAUCAUCAACUAAGUGGAGCAACGAAAUUUAAUUGCACCAUCUCUUCUCAAUUUGACGUCCUUUUUCCUAUCAUUCUUCCGUGGAAUUUUAAUUUUGAAGUCAGAAGGGAUUAAGAAUAGAGAUGGCCAAUGGAUCGUACCAGUCGUUAAAAGAAGGUCCAUGUAAGUCUGUGCUCGUGCCGUGUCAUGCGGUACUUUUUUUUUUUUUUACUUAGGCCCAACCAAACACAUGUACUGAGCCCAUGUGUGUCCUGCCGAGCUAUAUCAUGGGUUUUGCCCUAAAAAAAAACACGAUAAGCUUUUUCUUUUAUUAUUUUUUUUAAGAAGACAUGCUAAGCUAUUAACGUACUUAUUUCAAAACUAUGUACUUUUUUGGGUCCACAUGUCCUUAUUCAAAUUUAUAGAAUAAAAAGUUUAAAACUCAAGUUCAUAUUCAAUAAUAAUAAACUAAAAAUAAUAAGAGAAUGUAAUACUAAUAGCUAAAUUAGACCCUAUGGUAUUAGAAUUCGUUUUUUAAUAUUUAACAACAAUAACAACAAUAAUAAAAAAAAAUUCUUAAAGUUUAACUUAAUUUUUAACUUGAUCUUACAUUCAGUCAUAGGUCAUAGUCUAUAAUAGUAUCAAUGCAUACAUUUAUAAAACCAUGGUAUUUAUAAUUUUAUUUAUUAAAAUCAUGAUAUCAUCUAUUCAUUUAUUAAAUUAUAAAUAUAAAACAAUCAAAAUAUUUUUUUAAACUAAGAUUUAAUUGAAUUUAAAAAACUUAAGCUAAUAAAAUAUAUAAAAGAUUCAAUUUCAAGUUAUAUGUAAAACCAUAGAAUUUUAAAUUUAUUUUCAUUAAAAAAGUUUUACUUUAUACUUUGACUUGCAUGCAAUUGAUGACCCAUAGGCCACGUGCUAAUCAACUAGUGAAACGUGCUUAUUGCGAAUUUUUUUACAUGUCUUGUUUUAGUACGUCUUUAAUUAUGUCGUACUUUUAAGGUUCACGUGCUUAACAUUUUUAACUCAGCCCAGCAUGCAUGUGUGUCAUGUUGUGUUGCGUGUCCUAUCAAAAUGUGUUCAUAUCGUGAUAUGUUGUAAAGACACAUACCGUGCAUGUGCCAUGCCAUAUGUCGCGUGGCCCAUUAGCCAUCUCUAAUUAAGAACAAUAAAUUCUGUUGUAAUUUUUUUUUUUUUAGAUAUUGGUGAUGAAAUAAUGAAAGUGGGCCAUUUUAUUUAAUCACGUUAAUUGGAUUAUUGACACCCUCCAAAUACCUCUUGAAAUUCCUUUUCUUCUUUCUGCCCCAUUAAAAUUAUUUAAAAAUUAAAAUGUUCUUAUACCCCUAUUUUAAUUCUAAAAAUAGUCCUAAUUUCUUAUUCAAUAAAUACCUAAAAUGUUUGCACCUAUCUUCUCUUUCUCUUGAUAAGUUUAUAUCUCUUUCUCUCUGUCAUUUGCUUACCUCUCUCUAUUUCUCUUUUGUCGUGAACUCUCUUCCACCAUCAACUUUUUUUUUUUUUUUUUUGUUUGUAAGUUUAUGGUGUUUCUAAUAGAGAAAGUUUAUGGUGUACCUCGCCCCAUUGUGUAACUAUGUGAGGGGCUAAAAUAUCAUUGCAUAAUGUCGCAUAUUUGGCUUAAUGAUACGACUCCACGUAGUUUCAUUUUUUCAUUUUGUAAAGUGGCUAGGUUCCUUCUUUGGUCCUUCGGCUUUGAUACUGUUUAUCUAUCUACUUGUUACUUCAUUUUGAUUUUCCAAAGUUGUUGGGUUUGUAAAUGUGUCACAUUUUCAUUACCGAGAAUAAUAUUUGGAUUUUUUUUAAAUAAGUGUUAAACACAAUGCCUAUUCAACGAAUCUAACAAUUGUUUUUAAAAAAAAAUUAAAAUUUCAUAUGGGAGAAAUUCUAAAAUAUAUCAAAGAUGUCAUGAAAAUUAAAAAAAAAAAAAUCUCUUAAUAACAUCUGAAUUAUAAUGCAAGGGACUUUAGCGUUUUUGUUUGGCUAGUUGACUAUUCCCAACAUACUCUAAAGUUCUUGAGGGUAUGGUAGCUGGAAGAUCGAGUUGUUAUAGGAACUUUUGGUAAUGGUAUCGCGUAGUGAGCUAUUAUAUUAAAGAAGAAAACAAUCUCAUUCUGUGUACAUCACUAAUAAUAUAUUACUAAUUAAAGAGCUAACAAAAUAUGAAAUUAAAAAAGAAAAAAACUUUUAUCAAGGAUGACAAAAGUGGAAGGUCAAAACCAUAAUGAGCCGAAGUCACACAAUAUCUACAGCCAUCAACAGCUAGUUGAGUCACCCGAACCAGGGAUCCCUUGAUCAUUUUCUCUCAGACUUGGUUUAUCACAUUGAUUGAUCACUGAAAUAUCAAUAUCUAGAUCUUGCAUUCUUGGGGUGCUGAAAGAUCUCAUAAAACAACUUCUUGAAGGGCUGCACGUGAUGGGUUUCCAAGUUUAUAAACACUGUCAAGCUCCCAUCAUUGCUUGGACUUGGAUAAAUAUGCGCUACCCCUUCGAAAUAUGUAUUAACCAACCUUGAAAACAUUGGCGGCCCCCACCCGAAAUUUGCAUCAUAGAUAGGCAUGUUUGCUAAAUAUACUAUAUUAAAAUUAGGGCACUUAUACGUGUGAGCUCCUCUUCUUAGAACUGUGGGAUCAGGUUGUUGACGUAGAUAAGCAAGAGCUGAUUUCAAAUACUCGUCAUUCAUCCGCUCUAAUGCUCUAUGGAUUCGCUCUACUGUAUAAUUCAGGGGUUCCGAUAGGAUAUUACCUGAUAAGGCGAUCAAUGCAGUGGUGAAGACUACAUUUCCGAAAUACCCGGAUGGGAGUGGAGGAUUCAAUUUAGAACGUCCAUUUGUAGGAAAGUGUAACUUGCUGGCUUGAUCAUCAGACAAUUCACGUGCUUUACAUACGCAUCGCCAAAUAUGUGCUGCCAGGACCUCAAGUCUAGUGUACUCGAAUGUGGAUCCACGAUUUUCUUUAGAUUUUUCCUUGAGAAUCUUGAUUUGCUCAAGUGACAGAUUCAGGAUUGCGGUACAAAUGGAUUCGGAAUUUUGAGUAGGAGUAUUCAUUGAAGGAGGUGGGUCGUAUUCAAUGUGAUGGAAUCUAGGAGAAUUUGGAACCCCAAAAUCUAGUACGGUUCGAUCAAAGAAAGGUGGAAUGCUAAUAGGAACACCACGUGUCAUCUCAGCCCAUGAGUUGACGAAAUGGUACGUUGAAGCUCCAUCUGCUAAAAUAUGAUGAAAUCUAGUCGCAAGACAAACGCCUCCGCAUUUGAAACGAGUUACCUACUCAACACACACAGCACAGCAUUACUUAAUAAAACCAAGUCUCAUGAAUCAAUUGAUCAGGGGAUUAAAUAUUCGCGGUACCUGCGUCAUCAUGAGUGG
rnacentral:lncRNA from 1 species